GUCAUCGUAGCUUAAACCACUAAAGCCUGGCCUUGAAGAUGCCAUUAUAGGACCCAGCGUCCUCAGUGACG
rnacentral:tRNA from 1 species